rnacentral:rRNA from 1 species
GACCAGACUCCUACGGGAGGCAGCAGUCGGGAAUAUUGCGCAAUGGAGGAAACUCUGACGCAGUGACGCCGCGUAUAGGAUGAAGGUUUUCGGAUUGUAAACUAUUGUCAACAGGGAAGAAAAAGACAGUACCUGAAGAGGAAGCCCCGGCUAACUAUGUGCCAGCAGCCGCGGUAAUACAUAGGGGGCGAGCGUUAUCCGGAUUUAUUGGGUGUAAAGGGUGCGUAGACGGGAAGGCAAGUUAGUUGUGAAAUCCCUCGGCUUAACUGAGGAACUGCAACUAAAACUAUCUUUCUUGAGUGCGGGAGAGGAAAGUGGAAUUCCUAGUGUAGCGGUGAAAUGCGUAGAUAUUAGGAGGAACACCAGUGGCGAAGGCGACUUUCUGGACCGUAACUGACGUUGAGGCACGAAAGUGUGGGGAGCAAACAGGAUUAGAUACCCCGGUA